rnacentral:rRNA from 1 species
AGUGAACGCUGGCGGUAGGCCUAACACAUGCAAGUCGAACGGCAGCACAGUAAGAGCUUGCUCUUACGGGUGGCGAGUGGCGGACGGGUGAGGAAUACAUCGGAAUCUACUUUUUCGUGGGGGAUAACGUAGGGAAACUUACGCUAAUACCGCAUACGACCUACGGGUGAAGGCAGGGGAUAUUCGGACCUUGCGCGAUUGAAUGAGCCGAUGUCGGAUUAGCUAGUUGGCGAGGUAAAGGCCCACCAAGGCGACGAUCCGUAGCUGGUCUGAGAGGAUGAUCAGCCACACUGGAACUGAGACACGGUCCAGACUCCUACGGGAGGCAGCAGUGGGGAAUAUUGGACAAUGGGCGCAAGCCUGAUCCAGCCAUACCGCGUGAGUGAAGAAGGCCUUCGGGUUGUAAAGCCCUUUUAUUAGGAAAGAAAAGCAGCAGGUUUAUAUGCCGCUGUUCUGACGGUACCCAAAGAGAAAGCAACGGCUAACUUCGUG